rfam:Sphingomonas laterariae strain LNB2 genome assembly, contig: Ga0138991_122
UGGGGCGUCGCCAAGCGGUAAGGCACCGGUUUUUGGUACCGGCAUUCGCAGGUUCGAAUCCUGCCGCCCCAG